GGGGUUGACUGGUUUUGACAGCGGGCAGAAGCGGUUUGUAAGCAUGCAGUGCAUUGUUGGUUCGCACUUUAAUAAUAAUCCUCAAACUUUUUAACUGGCAACAACAAUUACGCUCUUGCUGCUUAAUCGAAGUAUAGUAGAUUGAAGCUUAAUCCCGACAUUAGAUGACGGGACAAGACAUCACCCGGAAGCUCUGGCUUCGAAGCGUUCCGAUUAGGUGGUGCAGGUAUAUCGAAGAUAGGUUGAGAGACGCUUCGGCUCUUUUCCGAAACUAAAGAAGAUAAGGACUGGGUUUGGUGGUUUUAGUCGCGCCCACUCUCGAAAACCAAAAUAAAACUAAGCAUGUAGAAAGCAAAUUGAUUCCCUGUUUGGACGAGGGUUCGAAUCCCUCCAGCUCCACAA
rnacentral:tmRNA from 1 species